rnacentral:tRNA from 1 species
GGUGGCUCAGUGGUAGAGCACUUGACUCGCACGCAUGAGGCCCUGGGUUCAAUUCCUCAGCACCA